CCGUGCCCAUCUCUCAGCUUGUUACUGUAAAAACAGCAUAUUGCUUAACAGCAUUUUAAGGCUUAGAUCCCUGGUACUAGGUUUCAAAGGAGAAGAGAGUGGAGGUUAGAAAAUUUCUUCUCUGCCUCACCUGCUUAGUGAAUGAAUUCAGUGAUUGGUAUUUGAUCAAGGGCAACUAAGGAGUUGCUGAGGGCCUGGCCUGAAGGGCCUCUAGGCUCCCCACCCAAUUAGGAAUGGGGAGGAUCCUAGUCCAUGGAGGGUGGAUUCUUUGGACAGAUUUAUGGAGAAAUUCAUGGGAAAGUCACCAGGAAGGCAAUUUCUGAGAGGAUGAUGACACUUGCCAAAGGCUUCCAGAGAAGCUGACUCCACCCUAGCUCCUGGGGAGUGGCGUAGUGGCUAAAGAUAAUCCUAGUCCCUUUGCCAGUGAUUGACUCAGGAACUCCCAUCUCAGCCCAUCAACAGGAAGCUGGACACACUGCCCCCACUGCUGUUGGCGGCCAUCUUUACAACCACAAGAGGAAUCAACCUAAAGAUCAAAGUUACACCCAGAUAAGGCAGAUCCAGGACCACCAAGGAAACCUAGAGCCUAGAGCCCACUCUGGAUUUCCAGUCAUGUGCAAUGAAACAUUGCCUUUUAUUUAAA